rnacentral:snRNA from 1 species
UUGCUUUUGCAGCACACAGAGUAAAACUGAAAUGAUACAGAAAAGAUUAGCAUGGCCCCUACGCAAAGGUGACUCGCAACUUCAAGACAUGUUCUAUAUUUUA